rnacentral:rRNA from 1 species
GACGAACGCUGGCGGCGUGCCUAAUACAUGCAAGCAGAACGCUGAAGGAGGAGCUUGCUUCUCUGGAUGAGUUGCGAACGGGUGAGUAACGCGUAGGUAACCUGCCUGGUAGUGGGGGAUAACUAUUGGAAACGAUAGCUAAUACCGCAUAAUAGCAGUUGUUGCAUGAUAACUGUUUGAAAGGUGCAAUUGCACCGCUACCAGAUGGACCUGCGUUGUAUUAGCUAGUUGGUGGGGUAACGGCUCACCAAGGCGACGAUACAUAGCCGACCUGAGAGGGUGAUCGGCCACACUGGGACUGAGACACGGCCCAGACUCCUACGGGAGGCAGCAGUAGGGAAUCUUCGGCAAUGGACGGAAGUCUGACCGAGCAACGCCGCGUGAGUGAAGAAGGUUUUCGGAUCGUAAAGCUCUGUUGUAAGAGAAGAACGAGUGUGAGAGUGGAAAGUUCACACUGUGACGGUAUCUUACCAGAAAGGGACGGCUAACUACGUG